AGAACGAACGCUGGCGGCAUGCCUAACACAUGCAAGUCGAACGAGACCUUCGGGUCUAGUGGCGCACGGGUGCGUAACGCGUGGGAAUCUGCCCUUAGGUACGGAAUAACAGUGAGAAAUUACUGCUAAUACCGUAUGAUGUCUUCGGACCAAAGAUUUAUCGCCUAGGGAUGAGCCCGCGUUGGAUUAGCUAGUUGGUGGGGUAAAGGCCUACCAAGGCGACGAUCCAUAGCUGGUCUGAGAGGAUGAUCAGCCACACUGGGACUGAGACACGGCCCAGACUCCUACGGGAGGCAGCAGUGGGAAUAUUGGACAAUGGGCGAAAGCCUGAUCCAGCAAUGCCGCGUGAGUGAAGAAGGCCUUAGGGUUGUAAAGCUCUUUUACCCGGGAAGAUAAUGACUGUACCGGGAGAAUAAGCCCGGCUAACUCCGCGCCAGCAGCCGC
rnacentral:rRNA from 1 species